UAGAACCAGAACAGUAGGCUUUCGUGUC
rnacentral:piRNA from 1 species